GGAAGAGAAAAGCAGGAGAAAGACCUGGAGUUUACCUGUGAAAGGAGAAAAGACAGAAUCAGAGCACUCACCCACGGGAGGUCCGGAGCCGAGUGACUGAACGAAGGAGAGAGUUAUGUCGAGCUGCAGAGAGGUCUGACAUCAGCGGCUCCGCCGUGAUACACAGAGAGCAACGGUCAGGUUUUUUUUGGAGGACGGAAGAGUUUGAGGUUCAGGACAAACCUCCUGCUGUGACAGAUGGCGAGCCAACCACCCUGAAGAGGGAUCAGCACCGAGGAGAUAUCCACGUACCCACUCAUUCACACACAUACACUUACAUUACACUGCAAGGACUUUUGAAAUCAGGUGAACUUGUAAUAACUCUACAACAAGUAAACCUGCAAAAACUCCAAUUUCACUUAAGGGCCCCAACGGACAUUUUUGUUUCAAGUGUGCACACUAAAUUUUUUUUUUCUUUUUUCUGACAGUUUGGGUUAUUUUCUUGUAUUCUGUACAAAUCAGACAACUUACUUUAUCCACUGUAAAAAAUUGUAAGAGUGGAUACUCAACUGUUACUCCUGCGUUUGCCUCAUUAUUGUUGCUCAAUACAGUGGGUCCUUCCGAAUUUAGUGUCUUCUGAUUCUGGUCCAGGUCUUUGAAUUAGUCCAAGCGGUUAUUACACUGUAAUUCACUUUUAUAUCUCUAAAAUUGGUUACAUAAUGCUUUUGGAGAACAGUCUUUUGAUAUACUAGCAGAAUUCCAACUUCAUACCUGUAACAUCUUGCAUGAAGAAGAGCAACAGUCACAACAUAUGUCCACAUGAGCGCUGUCCUCUGUAGCCGUCUGUUUGUGUCUUCGUCAUUGAGAAAUGAAUUCUACAAUUUUGUAAACCUGACGUUGCAUCAAACGCUUUUGCUGCUCAAACAUUUCUGCAAACGUCUGCAUCUGUAAAAACCAUAUCGCUAUGACAAUAACCAAAACAGCACACAAAAUUUCCAUCAUUCUCUCCUUUCACUUUGGACUUGGUACUUUAAUCGACACUGUUCAUUUCUGUCCAAUGGCUGAACGACCUCAGCACACGUGGUUUACAGA